rnacentral:rRNA from 1 species
UUCCGAAUCUUCAACCAAGCUCUGCUUGCUAGACAGGCAUGGCGCCUGCUAAUUAAGCCUAACAGUUUCUGUGUGCAGGUUUUAAAAGCUCGGUAUUAUCCAGAUGGAUGCCUGGAAGAUACGGUCUUUUCGAGGAACGCGUCCCCGACUUGGUAGGCUAUACAAUAUGGCCUCGACCUCCUGAAGAAGGGUAUCAUAUGGCGUGUGGGGGAUGGACAAAAUAUUCGUAUCUGGCGCGAUCGUUGGGUGCCAAGGGAACCAUCACGCCAACCUAUCACACUGCAGGGCACAUGUCGGCUAAGGAGAGUGGCCGAACUCUUGGAGGCGGGCGGGUCCUGGCGUAUGGACCUCCUCCGUCGAUACUUCCUGCCGGCGGAUGUCGCCGCGAUAUCCAGUAUUCGCACAUCACCUCGUGUCAUCGAUGACGUCAUCGCCUGGGCGCCGGAGAAGAACGGUAUCUUCACCAAUGUAUGCGUGUUCGCUUGGAGGAUUGUGACAAACUCACUAGCUACUUAGGCUAACAAAUUUACUCAUCACCUUGAGAUAUCUGACAUAUGUCCCGUUUGUGGUGUGGAACGAGAGGAUGUGUUCCAUGCAUUAUGCAGGUGCCCCCUAGCGAAGGAACUAUGGCAUGCAAUGGCGUUUGACUGGCACAUCCCGAGGGACGAAGCAAUCUACAACUCGGGCCCGGACUGGCUCUUUACGCUCCUCGAACCACUAGAUGAGACGGCGCGUAUGGUCGUACUGAUGACCAUGUGGAGGAUUUGGUACAUGCGGAAUGAGAUAACGCAUGAGAAAAGGCCUCCGCCUACUGAAUCUUCUCGUCGGUUCCUACAUGGAUAUAUUAGCUCGCUUUUAUGCCUCCACCAGUACCCCAGUGGUGAUGUUGUCAAAGGAAAAAUGGUGCUCAAUGCCCUUCCGCCACCCUAUAAGGCCAACGCCGAGCCUAAGGAAGAGCUGCGCUGGACGCCUCCUGAGUCAGGUUGGACGAAGCUAAAUAUGGACGGAAGCUUCAUUCCGUCCACAUGUAUGGCAGGAGGUGGUAUGAUCCUACGGGAUGCACAUGGUGAUAUCAUCUAUAGCGCUUGUCGGGAAAUUUGUAUAUGUGAUAACGCGUUGGACACUGAGCUAGCGGUGUGUCGGGAGGGGCUGGAUCUGGCCCUCCAUCGUACGGUGUUGCCCAUUUUGGUCGAGCUUGAUAGCCCGGAGGCGGUGUCACUGAUCACAACACACUCCGAGGAUCGAUCGAUACAUCGCAUGUUGGUUAAGGAGAUUCAGAAUCUGGCCUCAACUGAGAUAGGGAGAUUUCUUUUACUCGCUGUUAUCGAUCGCAGAAUAAAGUUAGUCAUGAACUUGCCGCGUAUGGCCGUAGCACUCCCCGUACUGCAGUAUGGUUGCAUUCGGGAUUAG